CCUACGGGAGGCAGCAGUGGGGAAUAUUGCGCAAUGGGCGAAAGCCUGACGCAGCAACGCCGCGUGAGGGAUGAAGGCCUUCGGGUUGUAAACCGUCUUUCAGCAGGGAAGAAGCGAAAGUGACGGUACCUGCACAAGAAGCACCGGCUAACUACGUGCCAGCAGCCGCGGUAAUACGUAGGGUGCAAGCGUUGUCCGGAUUUAUUGGGCGUAAAGAGCUCGUAGGCGGUUAGUCACGUCGGAUGUGAAAACCCGAGGCUUAACCUCGGGCCUGCAUUCGAUACGGGCUGACUAGAGUGUUGUAGGGGAGACUGGAACUCCUGGUGUAGCGGUGAAAUGCGCAGAUAUCAGGAAGAACACCGGUGGCGAAGGCGGGUCUCUGGGCAACUACUGACGCUGAGGAGCGAAAGCGUGGGGAGCAAACAGGAUUAGAUACCCUGGUAGUCCACGCCGUAAACGGUGGGCGCUAGGUGUGGGGACGAUCUACGUCGUCUGCGCCGCNGCUACGACAUAAGUACGCCCGCCCGUCGGGAGGGUACGGGCCGGCCGACGGACGUAAACGUAACGAAAGUAAGUAGUAGUUCGNGUGAGAGCGCGACGCGACGACGGAGGAGGAG
rnacentral:rRNA from 1 species